AUACGUAGGUGGCAAGCGUUGUCCGGAAUUAUUGGGCGUAAAGCGCGCGCAGGUGGUUCCUUAAGUCUGAUGUGAAAGCCCCCGGCUCAACCGGGGAGGGUCAUUGGAAACUGGGGAACUUGAGUGCAGAAGAGGAUAGUGGAAUUCCAAGUGUAGCGGUGAAAUGCGUAGAGAUUUGGAGGAACACCAGUGGCGAAGGCGACCGUCGGGUCUGUAAAUGACCCUGAGGCGCGAAAGCGUGGGGGGCAAAAAGGAUUUAAUUCCCGGGUAGGCCAACUCCUAAACGAUGAAUGCUAAGGGUUGGGGGGUUUCCGCCCCUCAGUGCUGCAGCUAACGCAUUAAGCACUCCGCCUGGGGAGUACGGUCGCAAGACUGAAACUCAAAUGAAUUGACGGG
rnacentral:rRNA from 1 species